AGCUUCAUUCUAGAUGAAAAUGGGCACUGUUGGCUAUAGUGGGCAAAAAUCGUUUAUGUGGCUAAAUACAGACACAGAGUACAGUUCCAUCGCUGUAAAUGUUUUGCAGUGGCGACAAUGAGACAUGUAACAUUU
rfam:Tupaia chinensis contig49402, whole genome shotgun sequence.